UGCCAGACUCCUACGGGAGGCAGCAGUGAGGAAUAUUGGUCGAUGGGCUUACGCCUGAACCAGCCAAGUCGCGUGAGGGAAGACUGCCCUAUGGGUUGUAAACCUCUUUUGUCAGGGAGCAACGCCGGCUACGUGUAGCCGGACUGAGAGUACCUGAAGAAAAAGCAUCGGCUAACUCCGUGCCAGCAGCCGCGGUAAUACGGAGGAUGCGAGCGUUAUCCGGAUUUAUUGGGUUUAAAGGGUGCGUAGGCGGAAUGCCAAGUCAGCGGUAAAAGCGCGGGGCUCAACCUGGCUCCGCCGUUGAAACUGGCGUUCUUGAGUGGGCGAGAAGUAUGCGGAAUGCGUGGUGUAGCGGUGAAAUGCAUAGAUAUCAGGAGGAACACCAGUGGCGAAGGCGACUUUCUGGACUGUACCUGACGCUGAGGCGCGAAAGCGUGGGUAGCGAACGGGAUUAGAUACCCCCGUAC
rnacentral:rRNA from 1 species